GGCGGACUCCCACAGACGAAGACAGAGACGCAUCGCAGCCCAGCAAGACAAAAAUCCUGGUGGAAGCUUUGUGUGGAAGUAUGCAAGAUGGUACGUCCUUCCUCAGACUUGCUUGCAGAUGUUGAGUGAAAUCACAUGGCCACGAUGAAAGAUGACACUCAUCAGGCUGGCGUGCAGCUGAAAGCACAGUGUCAUUACCUGGCCAUGUGGAGGACUGCAGUCAGCAGAUGCUGUGCAGGAAGUGGAGGCUUCAAAAUGCAUACCAGGGGCCUUAGAAAUCACAUGUAUGCAUUUCAAGUGGGACUCUGCCCUCCAUAGAUUUUGUAAUAAGACCAGACGUGAC